rnacentral:rRNA from 1 species
CACGUAGGGGCCAAGCGUUGUCCGGAUUCAUUGGGCGUAAAGAGCUCGUAGGCGGCUUGUCACGUCGAUUGUGAAAGCCCGAGGCUUAACCUCGGGUCUGCAGUCGAUACGGGCUAGCUAGAGUGUGGUAGGGGAGAUCGGAAUUCCUGGUGUAGCGGUGAAAUGCGCAGAUAUCAGGAGGAACACCGGUGGCGAAGGCGGAUCUCUGGGCCAUUACUGACGCUGAGGAGCGAAAGCGUGGGGAGCGAACAGG